rnacentral:misc_RNA from 1 species
UACAGAGGGUGCAAGCGUUAAUCGGAAUUACUGGGCGUAAAGCGCGCGUAGGCGGUUAGUUAAGCUGGAUGUGAAAGCCCCGGGCUCAACCUGGGAACUGCAUCCAAAACUGGCAAGCAAGAGUACGAGAGAGGGUAGUGGAAUUUCCUGUAUAGCGGUGAAAUGCGUAGAUAUAGGAAGGAACAUCAGUGGCGAAGGCGUCUGCCUGGCUCGAUACUGACGCUGAGGUGCGAAAGCGUGGGGAGCAAACAGG